GACAGAUGGUACGAGCGUUAUUCGAUGUUACUGGGUGUAUAAGGUAUGUAGGUGGACAUUGUAUCACUUUUCUAAAAAGGUAGGGCAUUCCCAUACCAAUAAACUUGAUUAUUUGUCUUGAGUUGAACUGAGGUCUGGAAAAUUUUGGAGGGUAAGGGUAGAAUCUGGCCAUCUCUGAACGAAUACCAACUGGCGAAAGCACCUUUCCCAGUUCAACUGACGCUGAGGUACGGAAGCUUGGGGAGCAAACAGG
rnacentral:rRNA from 1 species